rnacentral:rRNA from 1 species
CCUACGGGAGGCAGCAGUGAGGAAUAUUGGUCAAUGGGAGGAAUCCUGAACCAGCCAUGCCGCGUGCAGGACGACGGCUCUACGAGUUGUAAACUGCUUUUGUACCGGGGUAAAAUGCGCUACGAGUAGGGUUUUGAAAGUACGGUACGAAUAAGGAUCGGCUAACUCCGUGCCAGCAGCCGCGGUAAUACGGAGGAUCCGAGCGUUAUCCGGAUUUAUUGGGUUUAAAGGGUGCGUAGGUGGUUUUAUAAGUCAGCGGUGAAAUACCGCUGCUCAACAUCGGGACUGCCGCUGAUACUGUCGGACUAGAGUUCGGUUGCAGCAGGCGGAAUGUGUGGUGUAGCGGUGAAAUGCAUAGAUAUUACGCAGAACACCGAUUGCGAAGGCAGCUUGCUAGGCCGGAUCUGACACUGAUGCACGAAAGCGUGGGGAUCGAACAGGAUUAGAUACCCGAGUAGUC